CAAGGUUUCCGUAGGGUAAGUCACGUCUCCAACAACCUCUCUGUGAAACAGCCAUACUAACGAUCAUUCUAGUGAACCUGCGGAAGGAUCAUU
rnacentral:rRNA from 1 species